GAGUUUGAUCGUGGCUCAGAACGAACGCUGGCGGCAUGCCUAACACAUGCAAGUCGAACGAACUCUUCGGAGUUAGUGGCGCACGGGUGCGUAACGCGUGGGAAUCUGCCCUUGGGUACGGAAUAACUCAGAGAAAUUUGUGCUAAUACCGUAUAAUGACUUCGGUCCAGAGAUUUAUCGCCCAAGGAUGAGCCCGCGUAAGAUUAGCUAGUUGGUGGGUAAAGGCCGUACCAAGGCUACGAUCUUUAGCUGGUCUGAGAGGAUGAUCAGCCACACUGGGACUGAGACACGGCCCAGACUCCUACGGGAGGCAGCAGUGGGGAAUAUUGGACAAUGGGCGAAAGCCUGAUCCAGCAAUGCCGCGUGAGUGAUGAAGGCCUUAGGGUUGUAAAGCUCUUUCCG
rnacentral:rRNA from 1 species